rnacentral:snRNA from 1 species
UCGCACGACACCAGGGGUGGUGU